GACGAUCCAGCACAUCUUGGUGGCAAAUAUGACUGGCUAGAAGGGACACGUUAUAGUGUUGUAAUGGAAGAUGAAAAUCAAAUAGAGAUUUCUUUUACAAGAACAUGGAAUUCAUUCCUAAAUGACAUAGGAAUGCCCCUGAAUGUAGACAAAAGGUUUAUAAUGCUGCGUGGAUACCCCGAUUUCUGCUCGUAUGCAAUACUUGAACACUCCGAGGGAUGGAC